CAGAGAAACAUGAAGUUUGUUUAAGUCCCACAGGCCAUUCCCAGCAUGAGAGGUGGGCAGCGCUCUGUUGCCGUGGUUGAUUUUUAAACUGAUAGUUCAGAGGUUCUCCAGUCACGUAGGCACAAAAGAAGCUGCUGGUAAAUGAGAAACUGCAGGAGACUAAACUUGGACAUCAAGUUGUUCCCAGCUCUGGAAACACCUGAUGCACAAAUAUAAAUGUAAAGAAAAAUUAAAUCUACUGAGAAAGAUGGAGCAGAAGAUACUGAAAAAAAUAGUGGAAUAGACUUACAGGUAACAAAGGAUCAUUUUCAUAUAUAUCUUAACAUGAUAAUUAAGUGGUAAAAGGGACUACUUUAACGCAUCUACCUGAGAAGGAAAUUCUGGACCAGUGGUAGAAAUCAGACAUUUCUGUACGUUGACUGAUUUCCCUAUGGGUUCUCCAGCUUGUCUGCAAAAAGAUGGCUCACAUCAUGUUCGAGAGUCACCAUUUGCUUAGUUCUUUCAUGGUAUUUAUUAUUAUUGUUUCCGAUAUGUACUGGAGAUAUUUCAUAAACCUACAUGAAAAAAGAUACAAUGGACAUCUGAAGAAAUCGAAGGUACUCAAUGAAAUUCUGAGAGAAGGAUGUACCCAAGUCCUGUGGUUCAAACACCACACACCAAAAUGCAGUGAACAGAAAGGGAAAUGUAGGAUGGAAGAAGUGAGAGACCAUGAGUGUAUCCACCACUCUGAAAGCUUCUCAGGGCUCACGGCUCAAGGGUGAAGAAUUAUUCACUGACUAGACAAAAGAAAACCAUGUGAUAUGUUAUACUUGGGGCUGGAGAGCAACACGAGUGCUGGUAUUGUUGCUGUAGAUAUUCCUUGAGGGGUCUUGAAGGAACUGGCUGAUGUGGUUGCCAGGACAUUCUCCAUCACAUCUGAAGAGUCGUGGCUGUCAGGGGAAGUUCCUUGUGACUGCAUGUAAAAAGGGACGUGUAAGAAAGAGGAAAGGAAGACCUGGAGAACUACAGACUGGUGAGAGUCACAUCUGGGCCUGGGAAGCUCAUGGAGCAGAUCCUCCUGGAAGAGAUGUUAAAUCAGGUGCAAGAUGAGGAGAUGAUCAAAGGCAGCCACCAUGGCUUCAAUAAGGAAAAUCAUGCCUCACCAAUCUAGUGGCCUUCUACAAUGAAGUGACAGCAUUGGUGGAUGAAGGACGGGUAACUGAUGUCACCUACCACUAUGGGUCCAUCCUGAGCUAGUACUUUUUAUUAUCUUUAUCAAUGACAUAGACAGUGGAAUUGAGGGCACUCUUAGCAGGUUUGCAGUUUGCAUCAAGCUGAGUAGACCCAUAAAACUCAACAAAGCCAAGUGCAAGGUGGUACACUAUGGUCAAGGGAAUCUCAGAUAUGCAUACAGGCUGGGUGAAGAAUGCACUGAGAGCACCACUGAAAGAAAGGAUUUGGGUGUUCUGUUAGAUGAAAAGCUUGAAACAAUCCAGCAGUGUGCACUUGCAGUUGUAGCCUGGAAGGCCAGUUGCAUCCUGGGCUGCAUUUCUAGAUAAAAUGAACAGACAUAAUAACCAGGAAUUUUCCUGAUCGCCUUUAGAUCUGUUAAAUACAGAGAAUUCUAUUAAUAGCACACAUUUUUACACCUGUGUAUACUAACAAUAUACAGUAGAAUGAGGGGCUUUGCUGCAGUAAACCCUUCUGAUAUCCAUUUUAGGCCAAUAUGACCCUCUCCCUUGCAAAUGUGGCUACAUUUAGCAGGACUCUGAGCUCAGGUCAAGAACGUGUCCUACAUCACCCACAGACUGGUUGUACUUGGGUGAUGGAGGAACCAUUACUGUUGGUUCCAAAGCACAAUUGAGUUAUACAAAAUUGAAAGUCAUCAUUGUUUCUGAAAUUGUUCAAGCAGUAAACCACAGCAUAUGGAAAUCAAGAGAGAAAAGGAACUAUAAAAGUCCAAAGCAUUAAACAGUGACAGAAAAUGAGCACAUGCAUUUUUAAAAGACUUCUUUACUACAUGUAAGCUGUAUACUUUGCUUAAGUCAUUAAAAGUAAAGCAUGUUUGGGCACAUAGAAAUGAAAAAUGCUUUUGGAAAGUGGUGUAGGAGACCAGGUGCAGUAUUUUCUUUCUGAUUUUAUAUGCCAAGAGUAGAGCAAUUCACUUCUAGAGGUGAAAUACUUUCAGAGCCUUGCUGUCCACAGUGCAAACUGAAAUCCCUUGGGCACCCCAUCAGGAGGGCAUUCAACAGCUCUAGGUAAAUGACCCAGUUACUGAUAAUGCACAAGGUACUGCAAGAAGAUGGUACACAUCUCUGAUCCAAACUGUUUGCAAAUCAGUGCAAGACAGACGCAGAGAAAAGGUGCAGAAAAUGAUAUACAAGCAAAGGAGUACAUGUGGAUAUGAAGAGCAAUGUGAACAAGUUGAAACAGCUUCUUUCAAGGAGCAAAGGGAAUACUGGCUGAUGAAAAAUGGGUGAUGUUCCUAUUUGCCACAGAGUAAGCCCACUGUUGCAGCAUUACAUUUCACAAACAUACACGUAGGUACUCAGAAUCAAUGUAACUGUGAGGUUUGUGUCAAUAAAGUUGAAUAAAUGACUACUAUCCAGUCAUUUUAUACUA